CAGGAUGUUUGGAUGAUGCAACUUCCUGUUGAACCUGUGUAAUGGAGAACAGUGUGAGGGAGAGGACUGCAGGCUCCGGGUGUAUUCUCACCUCAUGCCCAGUUUUCCUGGAAUUGGCUCUGGAUCCUCCACAACCUUGACCAGGAGCAGUUACUGAAUGUCAGUGACUGACUAGCUGCAGCUUUUAUUGAAGAAAGAAAAAAAAAGGUGAAGCUAAUAUGACACCGUGCUGAGAGAGGAAAGGAACGACAGAUGACGGAGAGGCAGGAAGGAGAGAGAGAGAUGCAUGGGCGUGAAAAAGAAGCUGGGUCUAGGCCAGGGGAAACCACAUCACCUCAGUAGUGCUGUAAUGUCUUAUAUAGUGACUGUCUUGUGAUUAUUAUUGUACAUUUAUGGAGUGUUCAUUGAUAAACAGCAUUGUGGCAGAAAGCACAGUUCUAUUAGAAACCUGAUGCUCACAUUUCUACAUACAUGGAAUAUUUUGUUUUUCAUCUGUUUGUCUUUCGCUUUAAUAAAAAUCUGUUCAUAAGAAUUUAGAUAUAAAUAUAAAAACCCUGUUACAAGUUAAAAGAACAUCUGAGUUUACAGAAUUAAGAGUCAGCAAAGGUGCAGAAACAAAGGUGUCAUUUUUGUUUGCCUAUUCACAGAACAAAUCAUAAUAGAAAUACACCUGCAUGAAAAACCUCAGGUCUAAAAAUUGGUGGACGUUUCAUCACUUGCCCUAUGCUGAUGAUACCACUGGAUAACGGUAAAGAUGAUAUGAAAUGUGUGUUCAGUAAAGGCAGAGAACAUAAGUUUCCAGGCAGAAGGCACUUUAACAUAAAAAGGAAGAUCCUGGUAACUGUUAAUAUGAAUAAUUUCUCUCCUGAUGGAUGUGAGAUAGAAAUAGUAGACAAUUUCUGCCUUCUUAGAUCAAUAAUCAACAAGGAAAUGACAAUCUUUCAAGAAACUGGAUGACAAAUUGCUCUUGGCGAGCAGCAGUGAAGGACUUUGAA